UACGUAGGGUGCAAGCGUUAAUCGGAAUUACUGGGCGUAAAGCGCACGUAGGCGGCUUUGUAAGUUAGAGGUGAAAGCCCGGGGCUCAACUCCGGAACUGCCUUUAAGACUGCAUCGCUAGAAUUGUGGAGAGGUAAGUGGAAUUCCGAGUGUAGAGGUGAAAUUCGUAGAUAUUCGGAAGAACACCAGUGGCGAAGGCGACUUACUGGACACAUAUUGACGCUGAGGUGCGAAAGCGUGGGGAGCAAACAGG
rnacentral:rRNA from 1 species